rnacentral:rRNA from 1 species
AACGGCGAGUGAAGCGGCAAGAGCUCAAAUUUGAAAUCUGGCCUCCUUCGGGGGGUCCGAGUUGUAAUUUGUAGAGGAUGCUUCGGGUGUGGCCGCCGUCUAAGUUCCUUGGAACAGGACGUCAGAGAGGGUGAGAAUCCCGUCUUGGGCGGCCGGUCCGCGCCCGUGUGAAGCUCCUUCGACGAGUCGAGUUGUUUGGGAAUGCAGCUCUAAGCGGGUGGUAAAUUUCAUCUAAAGCUAAAUACUGGUCGGAGACCGAUAGCGCACAAGUAGAGUGAUCGAAAGGUUAAAAGCACCUUGAAAAGGGAGUUAAACAGCACGUGAAAUUGUUGAAAGGGAAGCGCUUGCGGCCAGACUCGGGGGCGGGGUUCAGCGGGCGCUCGUCGCCCGUGUACUCCCCGUCUCCCGGGCCAGCAUCAGUUUCGACGGCCGGUCAAAGGCCCCCGGAAUGUGUCGUCUCUCGGGACGUCUUAUAGCCGGGGGUGCAAUGCGGCCCGUCGGGACUGAGGAACGCGCUCCGGCUCGGAUGCUGGCGUAAUGGCCGUAAGCGGCCCGUCUUGAAACACGGACCAAGGAGUCUAACAUCCACGCGAGUGUUCGGGUGUCAAACCCGUGCGCGCAGUGAAAGCGAACGGAGGUGGGAGCCUUAGGGCGCACCAUCGACCGAUCCUGAAGUCUUCGGAUGGAUUUGAGUAGGAGCGUGGCCGUUGGGACCCGAAAGAUGGUGAACUAUGCCUGAAUAGGGUGAAGCCAGAGGAAACUCUGGUGGAGGCUCGCAGCGGUUCUGACGUGCAAAUCGAUCGUCAAAUUU